UGUAUCCAAACACAAUCUCUAAAAAUCGAUUAAUCCAAUUUGGCACGCGCGAGAUCUCACUUCCCUUCUUCACUCACUCUGCAACUUCGAGAUCAAGUUAAAGAGAUUUUCGCGAAGGUUUUGAAUUCCGGAUAUAAGAAUGGCGGCAUCAUCACCAUUGUACAACCAACUCAAGGCUGCUGAACCAUUCUUUUUGUUGGCUGGUCCAAAUGUGAUCGAAUCCGAGGAACAUAUUCUUCGAAUGGCAAAGCACAUUAAAGACAUUGCCACAAAAGUUGGGUUGCCCCUUGUUUUCAAGUCAAGUUUUGAUAAAGCUAACAGAACUUCUUCAAAGUCAUUCCGAGGUCCUGGCAUGGCGGAGGGUCUGAAGAUUCUUGAGAAGGUGAAAGUAGCAUAUGACCUACCAAUAGUAACUGAUGUUCACGAAUCAAGCCAGUGUGAAGCAGUCGGCAAGGUUGCAGAUAUAAUUCAGAUUCCAGCAUUCUUAUGUCGCCAGACAGAUCUCCUGGUUGCAGCAGCACAAACUGGGAAAAUUAUCAAUAUUAAGAAAGGACAAUUCUGUGCUCCUUCUGUCAUGGAAAAUUCAGCCGAGAAGAUUAGACUGGCUGGGAAUCCAAAUGUGAUGGUUUGUGAAAGAGGAACCAUGUUUGGAUACAAUGAUUUGAUAGUAGAUCCAAGAAACUUUGAGUGGAUGAGGGAAGCGAAUUGUCCUGUUGUCGCUGAUAUAACCCAUUCACUACAACAACCUGCAGGCAAGAAGUUGGAUGGUGGUGGUGUUGCUAGUGGAGGCCUUCGCGAGUUAAUACCAUGCAUUGCAAGAACAGCUGUAGCAGUUGGCGUCGAUGGAAUUUUCAUGGAGGUUCAUGAUGAUCCUCUAAGUGCUCCAGUUGAUGGUCCAACUCAAUGGCCUUUGCGUCAUCUAGAAGAACUCCUGGAAGAGCUCAUCGCGAUUGCUAGGGUCACAAAAGGGAAACAGCGGUUCCAAAUCGAUCUCACACCCUACCAUGAUUAAGAUCAAAGUCAUAGAGGGGAGAGUAGCUUAAGGGAGCAAUAUUUCUAUUCUGCACCCCUCCUGACAAAAAGAACUCAAUCCAAGAAGAUGAAUAUGAAUCCACGGUGCCAAACAUGAAAGUUGGAUUGGGACUUGCAGGGCAGGCAGUGACCAUAUCCAAAACAGAAGUGGCAGGUUUGAGCUGGUGAGGGAAGUUGAAGGCCAAGUUAUCGACUUUAUGCUCAUAGAUUUUGCCAUUCCGAUCUAGUUUAUAGCGAGAAGUACCCUGAAACUCUCCCUUUGCCUCCCACGGAACUCUAGGUUUAACAAGGAAGGAACCACCUUAACGGAGAUGAUGAAA